GACGAACGCUGGCGGCGUGCUUAACACAUGCAAGUCGAGCGGGAUCCAACCGGUGGCAACACCGGGGAAGAUCUAGCGGCGAACGGGUGAGUAACACGUGAGCAACCUGCCCCGAAGACUGGGAUAACACCGGGAAACCGGUGCUAAUACCGGAUGUCGUCAUUAGGCCGCAUGACCUGAUGAUGAAAGGAUUCAUCGCUUCGGGGAGGGGCUCGCGGGCUAUCAGCUUGNGGUGGGGUAACGGCCUACCAAGGCGACGACGGCUAGCUGGUCUGAGAGGACGACCAGCCACACUGGGACUGAGACACGGCCCAGACUCCUACGGGAGGCAGCAGUGGGGAAUCUUGCGCAAUGGGCGAAAGCCUGACGCAGCAACGCCGCGUGGGGGAUGAAUGCCUUC
rnacentral:rRNA from 1 species